rnacentral:lncRNA from 1 species
AUGGAGGAGAGAGAAUGUGCAUUUUUCCAUUCCACUAAAAAGCAGACAACAGAAGAAGAAAUGUAUUUAUCUCUCCCUGCAGAGGAUGUGCCACCCACUGUCCUCUCACCCAAGGAGGUGUGUCUGGGUGCUCUGGAGACUCUUCUGCUGCACCUCUUCCCUGCCACCAACCGUCCUUCCUCCUGCUACCAGAGCCGUGGCUCAGCUCUGCUUCAGGAGAUGGGACUUGUGCUCUGGGCAUCUGAGGACCUGCCAAGUGAGGUAAGAGUGGGCUGGGAAGCGGUAGCCCUCUGAUAGCCUUGGCAAAGUGCUAAUAAGCUAAAAGGAGGAAUGGAUGAUGGUGGACACAUAGCAGGUCUGUUAGUUUGUCAAAAGUCAUAGGAACCCGGUGUUAUCUGCGGAAGGGUGGGGUCAGGUGCAAAGCAGGCAUAUUGAGUGGGAUCAGAACUAGAAAACUGCUGGUAGAAUAAGGAACAUAGUAGUCAUUUUAGGGCUAUUGCUACCUUUUCUUGCUGUGAGAUAUACUUCUUAGCAAGAAGUGAAACCAGUGAAAUCCAUUGAAAUAUAUUUGUAGAAGCCAUCAGUAGACAUUUAUGUUGAGUACUGCCCACAAUAUGCUCCAGCAAGCUUUGGAGGGGAGAACAGUGUUUUGUUUUUAUUAGUUUUUUAAAUCCCUUCCAAACCCUAUCAGUGGUGAUUAGCACAUGACCUGUAGUUCAUUGUUAAUGUAGGCAGGGCAUCUUCUGGAGACGCUUGGCCAUUUGACAAACAUCUGUGGAAUGCCCACUGUCCCCUAUAUUCCUGCCAGCAGACUUGCUAGAGUUGGAGGAUACAAAGUUCCUGUACCCAAGAAACUGACAUUCUAGAGACAGAGGCAGAUGCAGGCACCCGGCUAACACUAACGGAGUGCCUACUGUGUUCCUGCACCUGUCAGCUCUGGGGAUAUAACAGUAUGACCUGGUCCCUGCCCUUAAAGAUGUAAUAGGCUGUGAGGGUGGGACAGUGGGAAGGAAAUGUCAGGUGGACAGGCAGUUGCAGUCUGGUGUGGGUGAAUGAUCCAGGUGUGAGCAGGAAUUAUCCAAGUGACUAGGAGGGGGUCGUGUGUGUGUUUUUGUUGCUGAGGGUGAGGAGAAGCUAUUUCAGGUGAAGAAGGUGCACUUUGUACAAGAAAGGACAUGGAGCCCCACAGAGCUGAGUGAGCUCGGUGUUGCUGUAGGGUAGGGGACAGGCUGGGAGGCCUUGAUAGGAAGUGAAAUUUCAAGCAAGUUGAGACUGGAUCUUGCUAAAACUUGUUUGUCGAGCUCACAACCUGAAUUUCAUUCUGAAGGCAAUGGGAAACCAGAGAGGUAUUUUAAAAAUGGAUUGAAUCCAUUACUCCUACAACUAUCUAUUGAAUAUUAAUUAUGUAUCCAUUUGCUGCUGGACUAGAUACUGGAAAUCUGAUGAUGUCUAAAACAAUUUUCGUCUAUGUGGGGUUUAUGAUCUAAUAUGAGAGAGACAAAUUAAACUAAUUUUUUACAAGGAGAAUGUAUUAAGGUAGUGUUUAUGUAAUUAAAGCAUAAUUAAAAUCAUAACAUACUCCACAGUUACCCAAGAUACAUAUAAAGCUAUUAAAUAUGACAUGUGCUGUGAAGGGAGCUCCAAGUUGGCUGGUGGUAAAAUGCCAAAUAAUGGCUAAUAAUAAUAAUCACAGACAUUUGGUAAGUGAUCAUUAUGCAGCUGUCAUCCUGCUUCAUGUAGAUUAUCUCAUUUAAUCUUCAAGGCAAUCAGAUGAAUGAGUUUCCUUUCCAUGUAGGGACAUAGGUCUGACUCUAAGACUUGUACAACUCAUUGAGGUUGCAUUUUGAUUUCAUCUUUUGCUAACAGCAACUGUGAUAGUAGACUGGAUAAUGGCCACCUGAAAAUGUUCCCACCCUAAUCCUUGAAACCUGUGAAUCGGGCACCGGUUGAGCGGCUGAGCGUCUGCCUUGGGAUCAGGGCAUGACCCAGGGGUCCUGGGAUUGAGUCCCACAUCGGGCUCCCUGCAUGGAGCCUGCUUCUCCCUCUGCCUGUGUCUCUGCCUCUCUCUUUGUGUCUCUCAUGAAUAAAUGAAUAAAAUCUAAAAAAACCUGCGAAUAUAUUACUUUACAUGGCAAAAGGGACUUUGCAGAUGUGAUUGCAAUGGGGAGAGUGUACUAGAUUAUCCAGGUGAGUUCAAUGUAAUCACAAGGGACCUCAUAAGAGAGAGGCAAGAAAGAGAGAGGGAGGAGUAGAGAGAGGAAGGAGAGGCUGGAGGAUAUGCUUUGUAGAUGGAAGAAGUGGCCGCCGGCUGCCGUAAGGCCUCUGGAAGCUGGAAAGGCAAGGAAAUGGAUUCUCCCUUAGAGCUUCCAAAAGGAACAAAGCUCUGCUAACACAUUGAUUUUAGCCCCUAAGAACCAUUUUCAUUUUCUGACUUCCAGAACCAUAAGAUAAAUUUGUGCCAUUUUAAGAUUGCAGUAAUGUGUUACAGUGGCACUAAGAAACCAGUAAAGCAAGGUUUGGAGGUACUUACUUCACAACAGCUGGAUUAAAAGCCUUACAUCAUUAACACUCCGCUUUGCCUAAGAGGGCAAAGUAUGUCAAGUGUUUUAGAUUGUAGAAGAUCUGCAGUUGGGGGAAGAGUCUGAAAUAGGAGGAUGGGAGGAAGUGGGAGAGAGGAUGCUUCUGAUGCGGGAGCAUCAGAAACAAAAACGCAAGGGCAGAGGUUGACAUGAAGGCACGUGUAGAAGGGGGUUUUGCAAAAACCACCAGGCCUAUACCGCAGGGCCAGAGUGCGACCUGGGGCUGGAACUUGGCUGUAGUCAGGCCAUGGAGCUGGACCUCGGCAGUGAGGAGCCAUGGGAGGACCUCAAGGGGGCUGUGACACAAUUAGGCAGCGUUUUAUGAAGAAUUCCCUCCAUGGGGGGGAGGGGGAGUGUGGGAGGAGAGGGGCUGGGCCACUGCCUGACCCUAUAAUCUAGCCUGAACCAGGCCAGCAGUGGGAAGGGAGAGAGUCUCCCUGUCCUAAGGCACACAGAGCUCCACGGUCCCGUAUCCUGGCAGUUCAGUGUGGUCCCCAGACUUUGGCGGUGUCCUUCAGACCUUGCAGGGAGCCCUUAAGGUUCUUUUUUUUUUCAAGGUUAAAAUUUUUUCAUUUCAUUUUUCCACUCUCACUCUCUCACAGCACAUAGUAGAGUUUUUCAGAGGUUCCAGGUGUGAAAUCACAGCCGACUCAAUGCAAAAGCAGACCUCCUCUCUCUUUUAUUAAGUAAGACAUUAAAAAGACUUGUUUUGGAAAAUAUUAUUUCACAAAAAUGCUCUUUACACUAAUAUAUAAUGACUUGUUAUUUCUGAAUGCGUAUAUAUUUACACAUCUUGGUAUUAAUUUAUAAUAUGGUAUAUAUUGACAGGUAUAAGCCAUGUAAACAAUAGCUCUUUGAGAUCUUCACUAAUUUUUCAGGAGCAUAAAAAGUUUGUGAGACCUUGAAGUGUGAAAUCUGCGAUUGUACGCAAAUCUCUGGGCUUGUGUCUGUUUAUUUGGGAUAUAUUACUAGAUGGAGGCCUUUUAAAUCCUGGAAGAGGCGAGGCAGAUAUGGCUCUUCCCAACUGGUUGAGGAGGCUCUGUGGGAUUAAGUUGUGUGCACAAACGCACACAACUUGCACGAGUGGAAUAAGGGCUGAAAGGCAUGUGUUUCUGCCCAGGAGAGCCGGGCCUGCCGGAAGGAGGCCUGGGGAGGAGGCCUCAGGCUGCAGCCUGCCUCCAAGGGCCAGGGUGCGCUCCAGGCUGCGGCUUCCCAGCCGUGCCCAGCGCCCCCUCUAGAGGCUGGAAGUAGAAGCCACGCCAGUCUUGUUUUACCUUCCCGCUGCAGCAGCCACAUUUCUGUCCCAGGAGUUUGAAACUCCGGGCUCCCUGAUGACUCGGAGCAGGCGAUGCACAGCAAGCAGAGCUCCGUUUUCUUGUGAGGAGGCUGUGGAGUCUAGAAACACUGUGUUUCAGUGAUGAAAGGGCUGGACCUAAAUCUUCGCUCAGAUUCAGUCCGCAACUGGGGCUGCUUGAUCUCUGUGGGUUUCAGUUGCUUAGGAGGAAAUAGUCCGUAUGACCUGGCCAUAAAGAUACCCCCAGCUCCAGCAGCCUAUGGCCCUAGGUGCCCAACAUCCCCGUGGCCCAUGCCAUAGGAAGAGAUAUCAGGGAGAAGGCUCGGUUUCCUCUCAGGACUCUCCUUGCAUUCAUGGGUUUAGCUCAACCUGCAUCUGACAUUAGGAUGCAUCUGCGUGAUUACAGAGAUCACAGAUUCUGUCCUUUAGCAAAUUUAUUUUUUAUGAACUUUUCUGCAAUUGAUCCAUUUAUUAAGCAAACAAGAAUAAGCUGGCG